GGCUUUGUGAUUUUUGUUUCAUAUAAUCAAAUCACUGUCGGCGUAAACAUGGGGUCAGUUGUGCUUGGUUUGCUUCUGUGUGCUGUCUUUCCUCUGAUCAAUGCUGGUUGCUUCAGUGUGCAACACGAAACAACAGCUAAGUUUUGCCAGGACAAGACAGAUAAUACAUGGCAUCCUACUGGAUCUGUUUGGAGAAACAGUAAAUGUUUUGACUGUAAUUGUUUUGCUGAUUCCAUGAGGUGCUGUGAUGCAAUGCAGAGGCCUGUUAAUUAUUCUGACAAGUGCCAAGUGGAGUAUGAUUACACUACCUGCACAUUUGAGGUGUUUGAGAAAGUUCCCUGUUCUCACACGGGCGGUGUUCUCGGUAAAUGACAGCCAUGAACAAAGAAAAUAAAGCCAUCUUUGUAUUAUCUGCUGAUGUAAAGGAUAGUAAUUUGUUUAAUAUGUUUAAUUUGAAUAACAUUAUACAUGGGAUCAUGUCAAAAUAAACCCAACAUUGGACAGGCAUUUGGGCAAUGUUGUUAACUGCAUUUCAGGGGUGUAACCACCUUAGACUUUUCAAGAAAUCAUUUAAAUUGAAUAAUAUAAAUUGAUGUAAAUUUUAAUUAAAAGUUUAGAAUUUAUUUACACUUAUUUUGUACAGUUGUGUUUAUACAAUUAAAACAGGAUCAAUACA